rnacentral:rRNA from 1 species
UACGUAGGUGGCAAGCGUUGUCCGGAUUUAUUGGGUUUAAAGGGUGCGUAGGCGGCUUUAUAAGUCAGUGCUGAAAUAUCCCGGCUUAACCGGGAGGGUGGCAUUGAUACUGCAGAGCUUGAGUGAAGUCGAGGUAGGCGGAAUUGACGGUGUAGCGGUGAAAUGCUUAGAUAUCGUCAAGAACACCGAUGGUGAAGACAGCUUACUAGACUUCAACUGACGCUGAGGCACGAAAGUGUGGGGAUCAAACAGG